rnacentral:rRNA from 1 species
UCUCUUGGGAGCAUGUGCACGCUUGUCAUCUUUAUAUCUCCACCUGUGCACCCUUUGUAGACCUUCUCGGGUCUAUGUUGCUUCAUUCAUUUACCCCCAUGUAUGUUUAUAGAAUGUUGUGCCUUAUAAUAUCUAUACAACUUUCAGCAACGGAUCUCUUGGCUCUCGCAUCGAUGAAGAACGCAGCGAAAUGCGAUAAGUAAUGUGAAUUGCAGAAUUCAGUGAAUCAUCGAAUCUUUGAACGCACCUUGCGCUCCUUGGUAUUCCGAGGAGCAUGCCUGUUUGAGUGUCAUUAAUAUAUAUCAACCUCUCUUGUUGAGUCGUUUGGAUGUGGGGGGGUUUGCUGGCCUGUUCAGCUCCUCUGAAAUACAUUAGCAGAACAACCUGAUUCAUUGGUGUGAUAAACUAUCUACGCUAUUGAAUGCAAGGUGCAGUUCAGCUUUCUAACGGUCCUUGGACAAGUUAUCAAUUAUGUGACCUCAAAUCAGGUAGGAUUACCCGCUGAACUUAAGCAUAUCAAUAAGCGGAGGAAAAGAAACUAACAAGGAUUCCCCUAGUAACUGCGAGUGAAGCGGGAAAAGCUCAAAUUUAAAAUCUGGCGGUCUUUC